rnacentral:piRNA from 1 species
UGGACCAGUUCUACAUGAAAGAUGGUGUUA